rnacentral:rRNA from 1 species
UUACCAUGCAGUCGACGAUGAAGCCCAGCUUGCUGGGUGGAUUAGUGGCGAACGGGUGAGUAACACGUGAGUAACCUGCCCUUGACUCUGGGAUAAGCCCGGGAAACUGGGUCUAAUACCGGAUAGGAACGUCCACCGCAUGGUGGUUGUUGGAAAGAUUUAUCGGUCAUGGAUGGACUCGCGGCCUAUCAGCUUGUUGGUGAGGUAAUGGCUCACCAAGGCGACGACGGGUAGCCGGCCUGAGAGGGUGACCGGCCACACUGGGACUGAGACACGGCCCAGACUCCUACGGGAGGCAGCAGUGGGGAAUAUUGCACAAUGGGCGAAAGCCUGAUGCAGCGACGCCGCGUGAGGGAUGACGGCCUUCGGGUUGUAAACCUCUUUCAGUAGGGAAGAAGCGAAAGUGACGGUACCUGCAGAAGAAGCACCGGCUAACUACGUGCCAGCAGCCGCGGUAAUACGUAGGGUGCGAGCGUUAUCCGGAAUUAUUGGGCGUAAAGAGCUCGUAGGCGGUUUGUCGCGUCUGUCGUGAAAGUCCGGGGCUUAACCCCGGAUCUGCGGUGGGUACGGGCAGACUAGAGUGCAGUAGGGGAGACUGGAAUUCCUGGUGUAGCGGUGGAAUGCGCAGAUAUCAGGAGGAACACCGAUGGCGAAGGCAGGUCUCUGGGCUGUAACUGACGCUGAGGAGCGAAAGCAUGGGGAGCGAACAGGAUUAGAUACCCUGGUAGUCCAUGCCGUAAACGUUGGGCACUAGGUGUGGGGACCAUUCCACGGUUUCCGCGCCGCAGCUAACGCAUUAAGUGCCCCGCCUGGGGAGUACGGCCGCAAGGCUAAAACUCAAAGGAAUUGA